UACACACUGAGUGACACAUGCCAUGGUUCAGCUCACAGAUCACCAAUGUAACACUACAAACACAAGUCUAAAACUGAACACAUACACUAUAGAAAACAAGUACUACGAAACUGAGCAAAUAACAGGUUUCAAGUACUCUACAAAUCUGAACCUUACAAAGUCUUAAACAUCUCGCAAUACUACAGAAAUUCAGAGAGAGAGAGAGAGAGUGAUAAGGCAGCAGCAGGAGGUUGAGGGAGAAGAAGCGAGGCAGGGGAAAGAGCAGCAGCAGGCAAGGAGGAAAUAGGGAGCAGCGGAGUUUGGGAGAUGGAGCAGCAUCGUGAGGUUGAGAGAAGAAGGAUGCAGCGAGCAGCAGAGGGAUAGGCGAAAGGGGCAGCAGUGGAGACUCGGGAGAAGAAGCAAGCAAAAGGGUGCAGGAGAAGGAGAAGGAUCAGGAGCAGCAGCAGGGGGUGAUGGAGAAGAGCAGUAGAGGCGGGGGAUAGAAGAGAGGUGGAGGAGCAGUAGUAGCGCGGUGAAGGUGGAGAUGCGGCGCUGGUGGCGGCACUGUUGGAUGGUGAGUGAGGGUGCUGGGCGACGCGAGGUGGUGAGCUGUGCUGGUGGAGAUGGUGGUGGCUUGCGGGGCUGAUGGAUGGAAGGUGCACCACCACGCCGGCCUGGCCGUGGCGGCGGCCGGAGUUGGAGAAGGAUGGGUGAGGGAGAGAGAGAUAUGCCAGGCCCAAUUUGGGAAUGGAGCAGCGCUAGGGAUUUUGACCCCCUCCCUGAUCUGUCUUUUUUUUACUUUGGCCCUUCUCCUUUCUUCUUUCUUCCCAAGUAGAGCCCUUCCUUCUUUAGUUUUGGCCCCGGUUUCUUCUUUCCUUCAUGCUCAGGUCCCUUUCUUCACUUCUUUCCUGCCCUUCUCUCUUCUCAAUGGCCAAUUCGUCCGAAUCUUGAAGAUUAUAGUGCCUUUGCGCACUUUUCUGCAAAAUAAUCAAAUGACGAGUAAAUGAUCUUUUAUAUGAUUUUCAUUCAAAUAUAUCAUAGUUCACAGCAAGAAUGGAUCGUCGGAUCACAAUAAAUGGUGUGUUUAUGUGCCAAAAUUAUAUAUAUGAAAUGUGCUUAUCAAGUUCCCCCACACUUAAAUCUUUGCUUGUCCUCAAGCAAAGGAAUAUGACAAGAUCAAGAUAGUGAAUAGUGAACUGACUAGAGAAUGCCAAGUGAAUUAGAUCUCUAAACAAUGCAUGCUUUGGACUUAGCUAGUGCAAAUCAUUGGUCAAGAGUGCUACAAAGUGAUAGGAUACUAGUAGACUCAAUCAUUUUAAACUUUUACAAUGAUAAAAGUGGAUCAACAAGUUCAAACGAUGAUUGCGCCAAAGGUUCCUAAAGAGAGCAUGAUCCCGAGCACAAAAAAGAACAUAAACUUGUGAUCAAAUCACUUAUUUACAGAAGUAAAGCAAUGAUAAUAUUUUAUUGAUCUCACCAAAGGAACAUACCACCGAUCCCGAGAACAUGGUAUACACCUGGAUCAACCAAUUAUUAGUUUAGUUUUUUUUGUUUGUCUCCCCAAAGGAACAUACCACCGAUCCCGAGAACAUGGUAUACACCUGGUUCGACAAUUACAUUUUUUUAUUAUUAAUUACUGCCCAAGCUAACCCGAUUUCACACGCCACCGAUCCCAGGAACAUGACAUGCUACUGUAGGUAGUCGGACUUAUUUAUUCAUUAUUACUUAUCUUAAAUGAUCAACGCAUAAGCACAAAAAUAGGAAUCAUCACUUCUCCAUGUCUGGUUCACAUGCUACUGAUCCAGGGAACAUAGCAUGCUAAUCCAUAGUGGUUAGGUGAUUGCUCUCAAUGGGAACACAUUAGGCACAAACUCAGCAUCUGACACUUAAUGAUCUAGGUGUAUCGAGGUAAAAGUAGAAAAUUAUUAAGUUUUCUAGUGUACUAGGGAUUUGAGCACUCAAAACUAAUAACUUUCACUAAUUUCAGCAAAGCAAGCAGUAUGUAGAUCACUAGUUUACAAGGCAUUCACGAUUGAGUUCACAUAUUCACAUCAAGCAUCAUAUGUCAAAGGUAAAAUUCAGUGGGACGACAUUUAAGAAAUGGCUCAAGCAACCCAAAUAUCAAAUGAUUACAGCAUGUAUCGAUGGAUGAUAUACUUGGAAUGGGUCAUGAAACAGCUCACCGGGCACUAUGAAGUAGCACUCGCUUGAUCACUCUCUAAGCUGCAACUCUUCUCUUUUUGCUUCUCUAUCCUAAUGCCUGCUCCAGCUUCUCUCUUCAUGUGUGCUCCUUGCUUCUCCUCAUCCCCAUGCCAUGGGUCCACCAGGGUCCCAGGGAAUGUCAUCUCGAACUUGGUCAGCAUGUAAUGAUUCGUGCACAAGCAAGAACCUGAAAGAGCACUCAACAAAGGAAACAAUACAAGUGACAAGGGUAAUGCCCUCCAAGUCAUCAAUUGAGUAUCCAAUUAUAUAAGCAUAACUAUAAAGCACGUGUUUAGAAUGGCAGAAAUCAGCAAGGUCAAUACUCACAUGAGGAUGACAUUUUUCAUUAAGCUCAAGACUAGCAUAAGAAUGAUAUGUUUCAUUAAGCAUAGGUCUAGCACGAGGAAAGUAACUGUGAUCAUCAUUAAUGUGAGUAAUGCCACUAACAGGGUAUAUAUGAUCAUAUCCAAGCAAAUACUUUUUCAAAUCUACUUUAACAGAUGGCAUCAUGCAAUGCAAGGUAGAAGCAAAUAAGUCAUAGGGACGCAUGUCAUCAAGAGGAUUAGAUAAACCUGCUACAUCACGCUCUUGUAUGACAAUAGGCAAAUGAAUUUCUGGUUCUUCAAGUUCAUCUACAACAACUUCUUUUGCUUCUUCAAGAGUAGUAGAUGAUGAAUCUUCAACUUGAUCACUUGGUUGUUCGAGCUCUGGAUCAUCUUGUUCCUCGUCUUUGAGUCUUUCUUCUUCAAGUUGAGAUCUCUCUUCCUCUAGAUCUUCUAUGGUGCUACUACCAGCAACACCUAAUUGAGUCUGAAGUGUCCCCAUCUGUGAAUAUGCACUAACAUGAUCUGGUAGGGGUGCUGAGAUCACUACCUCGCUGUCUUUCUGAGCAAUAUUCUCCUCAUCACCAUCACUGCUUAGUUUCAACAAUGACACUGAUGACUUCCACCAGUCAUGCAGCUCAGCAACAUGUGGGAUCUUCUCAGGAUAUUGAAGUAUCAACUCUUCUAAAUUUGACUCAACCUCUUGUAUCUCUCUCCUUGGAAUGUCUCCGACUUUCUUAGAUGUAUGUGCAGGAGUUGGAAUCUCAUCUUCACUAUUCUUCUCUGAGAUACUCUCUUAAACUGAGAUAGAGGCAACCACCGGUGGAGCUAAUGAUUUCUUCUUGACAAAUAUCCCAUAUACAGUUGUAACACAAGUGUGGGCAAUUGGUGCCACGACUAAAUUCCACUAGUCACAUAGUUGACUAACACAAGUGAAUUUCUCCAUAUCUUGUUAUCUCAACUUAGCAUCAAUCAGAGUAGGUUCCUCAUAAACAUCUUCUUGCAACUUUGACUCAGUCUGGACAGUUUCAUUGCCAUGAGGUAUUGGAUCUGCUACUGUGGUUUCCAUCUGAUCUACAAUGGUUGCAUCAUCUUGAAAAAUAUCAUAAUCAUCAUCAAGGAUACUUGAAGUAAGAUCAAUCUUUCUACAUGGAGGAUCUAAUUCAGCUCUGAAAUGUUGUUGUCCCCGGAAUGGAACAUGCUGGUUUUGAAUAUUAGGCACCAUGGAUGAUUUCUGUUCACUUACGGAACACACAGCUUCUGAUUGCAGAUGGCUUGCAACCUUCGGAUUUGAACUAGGCCUUUCAUAACCCCCUUGCAUUUGGUGGAAGGCAAUGCUCUCAAUGAGAAUAAUUGCACCCUCAACGGUCUUGUUCAUGAUUGUUCCACCAGCAGACAUAUCAAUAAGAUCUCUCGAAGCAUGUGUCAGCCCUCUAUAGAAUAUCUGGAGCACUAACCAAUCCUUUUGCCCAUGAUUAGGACAUUUUCUAAGCAAAUACUUAUAUCUCUCCCAAGCUGCAUACAAGCUCUCACUUCCAUCUUGCGCAAAACUGAGGAUCUGGUCACGAAUUACAGCUUGCUUGUAAAGUGGAAAAUAUCUGUGCAGGAAAGCUUGCGAAAUAUCACCCCAAGUGUAUGAUCUUGAUGGCAAAGAAUAGUACCAGUCCUUAGCAGCAUCUCUGAGAGAGAAUGUGAACAACAUACACUUGAUAACAUCUUGGGAAACGCCAUGGUACUGGAUAGUAUUGGCAUACUCCAGGACAUUACAAAUGUGCUCAUGAGGGUCUUCAUUGGGUAAUCCUCUAAACUGAUUCUGCAAGACGAGAGCAAUAAGUCCAGGCCUCAACUCAAAAUUUUCGGCCUCAAUAGAUGGCCAAAUUGGCCCUGUCAUCGUGCCCAAACUACUUGGCAACCAAAGAUCACGUACUAAAGCCAUAUGUUCAAGCGCAACUGUCAAUCAGCCUACAAAUAGUAAGAUAUCCUACACACGCUCACAAACAUCAAAGACUGGUAAGAGGGUUAGUACCCUAAUAAGCCGAAGCAACAAAAAGUAAAAAGGUAAAAGAAACACAGAAAUAAAUUUGACUGGAAAUUUAAACAAAAACUAUACUAAGCCUAGUCUAUAGCUUCACACAAUCGCUCGAUGCUAGUCCCCGGCAACGGCGCCAAAAAUGAUCAAUUGUAUAUAGCAGGGUUUUUAUGCCCCAAACUACGAGUGUCGUGUUCUCCUCAGGGACUAGGCGACGGCAACUAUAUUCGGCUAAUGCUAGGUAAUACAAUUCAGAUGAAGGGAACAAAAAAUAAACCUAAACUAUCAAGAUUGUCGCCAAUGAAAAUACAGAUAAGCAAAGGUAGAUUCAGAUUUUACUCAAUGUAUUUUUUGGUGUUUUUGUUUUAAUAAAAUGCUAACACAAGCAUACAUCAACGGCUAGGGAGUUGAAAAGACAUGAACAUAUAUAUAUAUAUAUAUAACUAUUUCACAUUUAAUAUAUAUAUAUAUAUAUAUAUAUAUAUAUAUCACACGUACUGCUAACACAAAUACUACACAAUGUAACAAGGUUCUUAAGCAAGAAAUGGACAGGGGAUAUAUAUAGCUAAUUAUCAAGCAUACACACUGAGUGACACAUGCCACGGUUCAGCUCACAGAUCACCAAUGUGACACUACAAACACAAGUCUAAAACUGAACACAUACACUAUAGAAAACAAGUACGAAACUGAGCAAACAACAGGUUUCAAGUACUCUACAAAUCUGAACCUUACAAAGUCUUAAACAUCUCGCAAUACUACAGAAAUUCAGAGAGAGAGA
rnacentral:lncRNA from 1 species